rnacentral:rRNA from 1 species
AUUGAAAGCUGGCGGAAGGCCUAACACAUGCAAGUCGAACGAGUGGCGGACGGGAGAGUAAUGUCUGAGAACCUGCCAGAUGGAGGGGGAUAACUACUGGAAACGGUAGCUAAUCCCGCAUACCAUCGGAUGUGCCCAGAGGGGAUUAGCUAGUAGGUGGGGUAAUGGCUCACCUGGGAGACGAUCCCUAGCUGGUCUGAGAGGAUGACCAGCCAGACUGGAACUGAGACACGGUCCAGACUCCUACGGGAGGCAGCAGUGGGGAAUAUUGCACAAUGGGCGCAAGCCUGAUGCAGCCAUGCCGCGUGUAUGAAGAAGGCCUUCGGGUUGUAAAGUACUUUCAGCGAGGAGGCGUUACUCGCAGAAGAAGCACCGGCGAACUCCGUGCCAGCAGCCGCGGUAAUAC